rnacentral:rRNA from 1 species
UAAGGAAUAUUGCUCAAUGGGAGAAAUCCUGAAGCAGCAACGCCGCGUGGAGGAUGAAGGGUUUUUAACUUGUAAACUCCUGUAAAGAAGGAAAAAAUUCCCAUUAGAUGGGAAAUGAUGGUACUUCUGGAGUAAGCCCCGGCUAACUACGUGCCAGCAGCCGCGGUAAUACGUAGGGGGCAAGCGUUGUCCGGAUUUACUGGGUGUAAAGGGUGCUCAGGCGGAUUUGUAAGUCAGAGGUGAAAUCUCACAGCUUAACUGUGAAACUGCCUUUGAUACUGCAAGCCUAGAGUAUGGAAGAGAGUGAUGGAAUAUCUGGUGUAGCAGUGAAAUGCGUAGAUAUCAGAUAGAACACCAAUGGCGAAGGCAGUCACUUGGUCCAUAACUGACGCUAAAGCACGAAAGCGUGGGUAGCAAACAGGAUUAGAUACCCUGGUAGUCCACGCCCUAAACGAUGAAUACUAGAUGUUGGCUUCGCAUGAAGUCAGUAUCUGAGCUAACGCAUUAAGUAUUCCACCUGGAAGUACGAUCGCAAGGUUGAAACUCAAAGGAAUUGAC